GACGUAGGGGGCGAGCGUUGUCCGGAUUUAUUGGGCGUAAAGAGCUCGUAGGCGGUUUGGCAAGUCGGGUGUGAAAACUCCGGGCUCAACUCGGAGACGCCACUCGAUACUGCCAUGACUCGAGUCCGGUAGGGGAGUGCGGAAUUCCUGGUGUAGCGGUGAAAUGCGCAGAUAUCAGGAGGAACACCGGUGGCGAAGGCGGCACUCUGGGCCGGUACUGACGCUGAGGAGCGAAAGCGUGGGGAGCGAACAGG
rnacentral:rRNA from 1 species